rnacentral:rRNA from 1 species
GACCUCGGAUCAGGCGGGGCUACCCGCUGAACUUAAGCAUAUCAAUAAGCGGAGGAAAAGAAACCAACAGGGAUUGCUCUAGUAACGGCGAGUGAAGCAGCAAUAGCUCAAAUUUGAAAUCUGGCGUCUUCGACGUCCGAGUUGUAAUUUGUAGAGGAUGCUUCUGAGUGGCCACCGACCUAAGUUCCUUGGAACAGGACGUCAUAGAGGGUGAGAAUCCCGUAUGCGGUCGGAAAGGCGCUCUAUACGUAGCUCCUUCGACGAGUCGAGUUGUUUGGGAAUGCAGCUCAAAGCGGGUGGUAAAUCUCAUCUAAGGCUAAAUACCGGCCAGAGACCGAUAGCGCACAAGUAGAGUGAUCGAAAGAUGAAAAGCACUUUGGAAAGAGAGUCAAACAGCACGUGAAAUUGCUGAAAGGGAAGCGCCCGCGACCAGA